CAGUAGCCGCGGGAAUACGGAGGGAGCUAGCGUUGUUCGGAAUUACUGGGCGUAAAGCGCACGUAGGCGGCUUUGUAAGUUAGAGGUGAAAGCCUGGAGCUCAACUCCAGAAUUGCCUUUAAGACUGCAUCGCUUGAAUCCAGGAGAGGUGAGUGGAAUUCCGAGUGUAGAGGUGAAAUUCGUAGAUAUUCGGAAGAACAACAGUGGCGAAGGCGGCUCACUGGACUGGUAUUGACGCUGGGGUGCGAAAGCGUGGGGAGCAAACAGGAUUAGAUACCCCCGUAGUCCCUGUCUCUUAUAC
rnacentral:rRNA from 1 species